rnacentral:rRNA from 1 species
AGCAGCCGCGGUAAUUCCAGCUCCAAUAGCGUAUAUUAAAGUUGUUGCAGUUAAAAAGCUCGUAGUUGAAUUUCGGGAUCAAUAUGUUGGUCGUGCCUUGGUACGUACUGGCAUUAUCGAUUCCUACCUUCUGAAGAACCUCGAUGUCAUUAAUUUGGUGUCUUGGGGAAUCAGGACUGUUACUUUGAAAAAAUUAGAGUGUUUAAAGCAGGCUCGCGCUUGAAUACAUUAGCAUGGAAUAAUGAAAUAGGACGUUUGAUUCUAUUUUGUUGGUUUCUAGGAUCGACGUAAUGAUUAAUAGGGAUAGUUGGGGGCAUUAGUAUUCAAUUGUCAGAGGUGAAAUUCUUGGACUUUAUUGAGGACUAACUACUGCGAAAGCAUUUGCCAAGGAUGUUUUCAUUAAUCAAGAACGAAAGUUAGGGGAUCGAAGACGAUCAGAUACCGUCGUAG